rnacentral:misc_RNA from 1 species
UGUUUUUUUUUUUUUUUUCGUCAAGUUAGCUUACUUUAAUUUAUUGCAGACACUAAUCCAGUCCAGUAACCCCGCUGAACUGAGUUUUGGUGUACGACCCACGUCUUACAAAAUAAAAAGUACCUUAUUGCGUAUUUACAAAUUAUAUUAAAAAUAAAUAACCAAUUUAUUCUAAUAACCGAGAAAUGUAUUAUUUCGAAAUUAUUCGAUAAAAAUGAAGUUCUCUCUUUUAUGUAAUCGCACAAAAAACGAAAAAUACCAUCUCAUUUUUAUCGAACACUCCAAAAUAAAAACUCGUCUACACUACAUUUUACUAAUUAUAACAAAAAAAAAAAAAAAAAACAAUAUUUUGUUGUGUUUAAGUUACGAGAUCAUUCAUUUACGUUAAAAAUACAGAAAAUUAAAAUACGAUAUUCCCAUGAACACAGCUGGUGUGAUUCAUUUAAAAGACACAACAAUUUCUAUAUAUAAAAAAAAUUUGAAAGAUCGAAGCUCCAACCAUUUAUAAAAUUUAUUUUACCGAAUAACAUAUCAAUUAUGUCAUUAUUGCUUUUACGUUUAUGCAAAAUAAAAGUUAAUGGGAAUCUUAUAAAAAAAAAAUGUAAUAUAUAUAUAUAUAUAUAUAUAUAUAUAUAUAUAUAUAUAUAUAUAUAUAUAUAUAUAUAUAUAUAUAUAUAUAUAUAUAUAUAUAUAUAUAAUGUGUGUGAGUAAUAAUAAUAAAAUGUAACGGUGGAGGCAUGGUCCGAAAACAAUAACAACAAUAUCGAACGAUGAUUGCACAAUUUGAUUGAUAUUUUUCUGUUUUUAAUAAAAAUAAAUAUAUAGAAAUUUAGGUUAUACAAAUUUAAAAAGAAAAAAAAAUACAAACA